GCCUAGUCGUAAACUUUGAUGAUAAACUACAAAUAUCAUCCGCCAGGGAACUACAAGCGCAUCGCUCGAAACCCAACGGACUUGGCGGUGCCCCACACCCACCUAGAGGAGCCUGUUCUAUAACUGACAAUCCCCGUUCAACCUCACCACUCCUAGCCUUUCCAGUCUAUAUACCACCGUCGUAAGCUCACCCUAUGAAGGAUCAAUAGUAAGCAAAAUGGGCAAACCCCAGAACGUCAGGUCGAGGUGUAGCACAUGGAGUGGGAAGAAAUGGGCUACAUUUUCUGCCUACAGAAUACCAACGGACAACGUCAUGAAACCUGCCGUUUAAAGGAGGAUUUAGCAGUAAAAAGAAAAUAGAGAGUUCUUUUGAAGCCGGCCCUGGGGCGCGC
rnacentral:rRNA from 1 species